rnacentral:rRNA from 1 species
CAUGCAUGUCUAAGUAUAAGCAAUUAUACAGCGAAACUGCGAAUGGCUCAUUAAAUCAGUUAUCGUUUAUUUGAUAGUACCUUACUACAUGGAUAACCGUGGUAAUUCUAGAGCUAAUACAUGCUAAAAACCCCAACUUCGGGAGGGUUGUAUUUAUUAGAUAAAAAACCAAUGCCCUUCGGGGCUCCUUGGUGAUUCAUAAUAACUUCUCAGAUCGCAUAGCCUUGAGCUGGCGACGGUUCAUUCAAAUUUCUGCCCUAUCAACUUUCGAUGGUAAGGUAGUGGCUUACCAUGGUUUCAACGGGUAACGGGGAAUUAGGGUUCGAUUCCGGAGAGGGAGCCUGAGAAACGGCUACCACAUCCAAGGAAGGCAGCAGGCGCGCAAAUUACCCAAUUCCGAUACGGAGAGGUAGUGACAAUAAAUACUGAUACAGGGCUCUUUUGGGUCUUGUAAUUGGAAUGAGUACAAUUUAAACCUCUUAACGAGGAACAAUUGGAGGGCAAGUCUGGUGCCAGCAGCCGAGUUAAUUCCAGCUCCAAUAGCGUAUAUUAAAGUUGUUGCAGUUAAAAAGCUCGUAGUUGAACUUUUGGCCUGGCCGGCAGGUCCGCCUCACCGCGUGCACUUGUCCGGCCGGGCCUUUUCUUCUGGAGAACCGCAUGCCCUUCACUGGGUGUGUUGGGGAACCAGGACUUUUACUUUGAAAAAAUUAGAGUGUUCAAAGCAGGCCUUUGCUCGAAUACGUUAGCAUGGAAUAAUAGAAUAGGACGUGCGGUCCUAUUUUGUUGGUUUCUAGGACCGCCGUAAUGAUUAAUAGGGACAGUCGGGGGCAUCAGUAUUCAAUUGUCAGAGGUGAAAUUCUUGGAUUUAUUGAAGACUAACUACUGCGAAAGCAUUUGCCAAGGAUGUUUUCAUUAAUCAGUGAACGAAAGUUAGGGGAUCGAAGACGAUCAGAUACCGUCGUAGUCUUAACCAUAAACUAUGCCGACUAGGGAUCGGGCGGUGUUUCUAAUGUGACCCGCUCGGCACCUUACGAGAAAUCAAAGUGUUUGGGUUCUGGGGGGAG